rnacentral:rRNA from 1 species
UAGGGAAUCUUCCGCAAUGGGCGAAAGCCUGACGGAGCAACGCCGCGUGAGUGAUGAAGGUCUUCGGAUCGUAAAACUCUGUUAUUAGGGAAGAACAAAUGUGUAAGUAACUAUGCACGUCUUGACGGUACCUAAUCAGAAAGCCACGGCUAACUACGUGCCAGCAGCCGCGGUAAUACGUAGGUGGCAAGCGUUAUCCGGAAUUAUUGGGCGUAAAGCGCGCGUAGGCGGUUUUUUAAGUCUGAUGUGAAAGCCCACGGCUCAACCGUGGAGGGUCAUUGGAAACUGGAAAGCUUGAGUGCAGAAGAGGAAAGUGGAAUUCCAUGUGUAGCGGUGAAAUGCGCAGAGAUAUGGAGGAACACCAGUGGCGAAGGCGACGUUCUGGUCUGUAACUGACGCUGAUGUGCGAAAGCGUGGGGAUCAAACAGG